CAUAACUUGAGAAACGUUUAACAAACUAUAGUGCGUAUUAAAAUUUGGUUAUAUUUAUUUUUCUAAUGAUAUGUUGUUUUAGAGAAAAUACUUCGGCGUGAAUAUAUACACACACAUAUACAUACAUACAUACAUAUAUACAUAGAUAUAAAAGUACACACACUAAUAAACAAAUUCAUGUUAGGAUCUUUGAUCAUGUGCUCAUCCACAUAAAAAUCGUGGUUGCCCAUCCCAAUCGUUCUUGUCAAUUUCUGUCUUUCAAUUCUUUUAGACUUUUAGUCCCUUUUCAAAGCACAAUUAAUGAUCCGCGACACCACCAAUAUCAAUUGACAGCUCCUUAUAAUGCUUCAACGAAAAAAGCCCGCAAGAUGCGACCCAGAACCAAUUCAAAAAAAGUGUAUAAUUAUUGCGAUUAAAAUUGAAAUAUCUUUGUAUCAAAAAAAAAAAAUUGAAAUAUCUUAUUUUAUAGUAUGAUAUUUUUUCAGUAUUGAUAUAUAUGAUUAUUACUAAUAUUAAAUUAGAUAUUAUAAUUAAUAUUUAUAAUUAAAUUAUGUAAUUGGGACUCUUUCAUAUACAUUGAUUUUCUAAAAUAUUAUUUAAAUUUUAACUCUCUUCAAUAUUCGAGAUAUGUUUAUUCUACUCAAAUUUCAUUAAAAAAAAAAAAUUUUGUUAACUUGAAACAAAUGAUAAUUUAUUCAAAUUCGAAAAAAGUUUAACAUAGUAACAUGCUCAAGCGAAGUGAACUAGUCAAUUUAAUACAGAAAUUGAAAACGACCCAUGAACUAGCCGGUUGUGCAAAAAUUGAAUAAUAAAGAAAAGAAUCAUUCAUACGUGAGCAAUCUGCAUGUAAUUCCAAGGAGAAGAGCCUAAUAUCAGGCAAAUGUAGGUAUAAAAAAGGCAAUGAAUUUGUCGCAUAUUAUAAUUAUCGAGAUUAUGCUCUAAUUGACCAAGACAAUUAGACAAGCAAGUGGCCACCACAAGCAUCCCAGUUAUUUAAUCACAUCAUGCAUCUACCACCUGCAAAACUUUCUUAUUUUACUCCAUGAAGAUGAUAAGAUGUGUGACUAAGUGGUUUCAUAUCUCAUAAAAAGUCAAAAAAGUUUUUUUUUUUAAUAUUGUUAUACAAGACUUUAGGUAUUACAAUUAAUAUUUACAAACAUAUUCUAUAAUUGAGACUUUUUUCGUGACGUAUAUUCCUCUGAAGCGCUGCCCAGAUUCUUUAAACCCUCUCAAAUAUUCGAAAACUAUCCACUUCACUCACAUUUCGUGAUGGAUAGACUAGCUCUACUCAAUUAUUUGAUAAUUGAGGGAGGAUUGUAAAUAACCCUUAUAAAUACUUUUAUGGAGGCUCGAACCCCCUUGCACUCAACAUUGUAAGUGUAAGGGUUCUCCCACUAGACCAAAGACACAUAGGUAUGAAAAGUUAAAAGGUUGUAUUACCUUAUUAGGUCAAUUUGCCAAUUAUAAUGCAUAGCACAUGAAAUUGCAAGCUGGAGUUCAUUAGCAAUAUGUAUAGAUUUUUUGUUUUUGUUUUUUUGGGGAAACAUUUUUCAAUCACAUUAUUAUGGGAUUAGGAUUUCUUACUGCCAAUCAUUCAUCGGAUAAACUACUAAAAUAUCUUUUGAGGAGCCUUAUAAGAAGAUUAUUGAUAAAUGGGCGAAGCAAACACACGACACGAGCACGCCAAAGAAAGCAAGAUUAGAUUCAACAAACAAUAAGACUUUGAAGUCUAUUGUGGUAAGGCUUCAUUUGAUUUUAGCGUAAAAAUUUUCUUUUACUGGUGAGUCAAAGUUCACAUGCGCGCACACUUUAAAUAACAUGUUGCGAUUGAACCUUGUAACUUGAAACACGUACUGAAAAGUCUGAAACCAAAAGAGCGAGACGCGGCUUAUAUACAUUAUGGCACCUGAAAAGUCUUUUGAGCAAACUGGUUUCAUCACUGAAUCAAAGACAAAUUAUUAUCCCUAGCCUAGCAAAACGACAAGUCGGAGCUCAUGCCACCACCGUAUCACCAAUUUAUAUUCAUUCAAUUCUGAUUGGGUUAUCAAUGCAUCGCUGCGACAAGUAAUUAAUUAUUUGGAGCAUAGAAAUAGAAUCAUUACAGUGCUCUUGGAUCUCCAAAGUCAUCAUCACUUUCAUGUUAAAAGUUAACCCCUUUUUAAUAAUUCAAUGCUCCCGUAAACAAAUAUCCUCCCCCUUUAUCCUUUUUGAUCUCUCAUCUCUUUCACUUUCUCUUUUGGGUCUCAAAUAAAGUAUGAUGAUUCUUUUGAUCUCAGGCGCGGCCUAAAAGGAUCUUUAUUGCUGUUCUUUAAUUUUUUUAUGGCAUUUGAUUGAACAUAAAAAGGUACUCCGACUUGUGGGUUUAAACUCUACUGGAGAGUUAAUGGGCCUUACCUUUUUUAAAAUUGACUAUUCAUUUUUUGU
rnacentral:lncRNA from 1 species